rnacentral:rRNA from 1 species
AUUGAGUAUAAGCGUCAGCUUGACUCAGUUAAAGUAAAGAGGGCCGGCAAAUAUGGUGCCAGCCGCCGCGGUUACACCACGAGGCUCAAAUUGAUUACUUUCGGCGUAAAGCGUGAUUAAAGUUAUCCUCCACUAUAGUUAUAUUUUAACUAAGCUGUGACACGCUUGUUCCUAAGAAACUCAGAAACGAAAGUUACUAUAUAUAAUUCAACUUGAACCCACGACAGCUGAGACACAAACUGGGAUUAGAUACCCCACUAUGCUCAGCCGUAAACUUUAAAUUACAUCCUUAUCGCCAGGGAACUACGAGCAAAGCUUAAAACCCAAAGGACUUGACGGUACCCCACAUCCACCUAGAGGAGCCUGUCCUAUAAUCGAUAACCCCCGCUAAACCUCACCAUUUUUAGCCAAUCAGCCUGUAUACCUCCGUCGUCAGCUUACCUCGUGAGCAAUAUCUAGUGAGCUUAAUGUCUUUACAUCAUACGCAGGC